rnacentral:tRNA from 1 species
AAAGGGAGACCUAAUUCAGGUAGGAGACGAAAAAAAAGUAGUCGCUACCAAGAAUCAAUCCCAAAAGGUCGGAGCGAGGCGAAAUUGGCUUUCAAACUAGGUUCUGGGUUCAAACAAGACCUGAAUCAGGAACAAGGGCUAUUAGCUCAGGUGGUUAGAGCGCACCCCUGAUAAGGGUGAGGUCCCUGGUUCGAGUCCAGGAUGGCCCACCUGUACAGGUGGCAAAAAGAAAGAAAAGAAGCGAGGAAUCAGCACCUUAUCUUACUGACAUAGUAAGAGAGAAUGCUGGCUCUGAGUAAAGAGUCCAGAGGAACCUUGAAAACUGCAUAGAGCUAGGUGAAAAAGCCAAAAAAGAAGACCGUCAG